rnacentral:rRNA from 1 species
GACGAACGCUGGCGGCGUGCCUAAUACAUGCAAGUUGAGCGCUGAAGGUUGGUACUUGUACCGACUGGAUGAGCAGCGAACGGGUGAGCAACGCGUGGGGAAUCUGCCUUUGAGCGGGGGACAACAUUUGGAAACGAAUGCUAAUACCGCAUAAAAACUUUAAACACAAGUUUUAAGUUUGAAAGAUGCAAUUGCAUCACUCAAAGAUGAUCCCGCGUUGUAUUAGCUAGUUGGUGAGGUAAAGGCUCACCAAGGCGAUGAUACAUAGCCGACCUGAGAGGGUGAUCGGCCACAUUGGGACUGAGACACGGCCCAAACUCCUACGGGAGGCAGCAGUAGGGAAUCUUCGGCAAUGGACGAAAGUCUGACCGAGCAACGCCGCGUGAGUGAAGAAGGUUGUCGGAUCGUAAAACUCUGUUGGUAGAGAAGAACGUUGGUGAGAGUGGAAAGCUCAUCAAGUGACGGUAACUACCCAGAAAGGGACGGCUAACUACGUG